rnacentral:tRNA from 1 species
AAGAAAUUAGUUAAAACAAAUAAUAAAGGUUUGUCAAAUCUUAGUUACUUAAAAAAGUAUUUCUUU